CUCGACAUUACUGAUGAAAUUUAUCUUAAUUUUAUAAUUAUUUGAUCAUAAUAUAAUAAUCAGUAAAAUGAACCAUUGGACUAAACACGAAAAUUCCAAAUGAGCAAGGAAAAGCCCUUCUUAGCUGUUGAAAUGCAAUUCAUUAAACGCUGUCAAGAGGUACAAUAAACUGCACGUUGUAGAAAGAACCUAACGGUAUGGCUGGAUUUUUCAUCACUAAGUUAAUUUAAAAUUAAAUAAUAGAUAGGAAACUAGAUAUAAGUUAUAACUGCAGCAAGUUCAGUAUGUAUAAUUGAGCUCUGCACAACUUUUUAUAGUAAAGGCUAAUAUUGUGACAAAAAAAAAUACUAAGAAAAUUAAGUUGUCGAAUUAAAUUAAUCCUAAUUUUGCAAAUGUGUCGUUCCAAUAAAAAUAUAGGCUAACCCCCUUGAUAAAAGAAAAUAAUCAUGUGUUUAACG